GCCCAGGUGGUGGAAUUGGUAGACACGCUACUUUGAGGGGGUAGUGGGAGAACUCCCGUGCAAGUUCGACUCUUGUCCUGGGCACCA
rnacentral:tRNA from 4 species